rnacentral:rRNA from 1 species
UACGGAGGGGGCUAGCGUUGUUCGGAAUUACUGGGCGUAAAGCGCACGUAGGCGGCUUUUUAAGUCAGAGGUGAAAGCCCGGGGCUCAACUCCGGAAUUGCCUUUGAAACUGAAGAGCUUGAACAUGGGAGAGGUGAGUGGAAUUCCGAGUGUAGAGGUGAAAUUCGUAGAUAUUCGGAGGAACACCAGUGGCGAAGGCGGCUCACUGGACCAUUGUUGACGCUGAGGUGCGAAAGCGUGGGGAGCAAACAGG